UUGUAAUUUGGAGAAGGUGCUUCGGGAACGACCGCGGUCCAAGUCCCAUGGAACUGGGCGUCAGAGAGGGUGAGAACCCCGUAUGCGGUCGACGGUCCGACCCGCGUGAAGCCCUUUCGACGAGUCGAGUUGUUUGGGAAUGCAGCUCUAAAUGGGUGGUAAAUUCCAUCUAAGGCUAAAUAUCUGUCGGAGACCGAUAGCGCACAAGUAGAGUGAUCGAAAGAUGAAAAGCACUUUGAAAAGAGAGUGAAACAGCACGUGAAAUUGUUGAAAAGGAAGCGCUUGCAACCAGACUCGUUGGUAGGGUUCAGCCGCGCUUCGGUGCGGUGUACUCCCUGCGAUCGGGCCAGCAUCGGUUUCGGCGGCCGGACAAAGGCCCCGGGAACGUAGCUCCCUUCGGGGAGUGUUAUAGCCCGGGAUACAAUGCGGCCUGCCGGGACCGAGGACCGCGCUCUGCUAGGAUGCUGGCGUAAUGGUUGCCAGCGACCCGUCUUGAAACACGGACCAAGGAGUUGACCUAUCGUGCGAGUAUUUGGGCGUCAAACCCGGAUGCGUAAUGAAAGUGAAUUUAGGUGGGAGCCCCCGGGCGCACCAUCGACCGAUCUUGAUGUCUUCGGACGGAUUUGAGUACGAGCAUAAUGGGUCUGACCCGAAAGACGGUGAGCUAUGCGUGAAUAGGGUGAAGCCAGAGGAAACUCUGGUGGAGGCUCGCAGCGGUUCUGACGUGCAAAUCGAUCGUCAAAUUUGCGCAUAGGGGCGAAAGGUACGUAUCAGCUCCUCUGGUAGUUUUUGAAGUCGUUCCUCCGGACGAAUGCGCUAACGCAUCUAAACAGACUAAUCGAACCGUCUAGUAGCUGGUUCCUGUCGAAGUUUCCCUCAGGAUAGCAGCAACGAACGUAGUAGUCUCAUGAGGUAGAGCGAACGAUUAGAGGCCUUGGGGUCGGAACUGACCUUAACCUAUUCUCGAACUUCGAAUAUGUGAGAAGUCCUUGUUACUUUGUUGAA
rnacentral:rRNA from 1 species